rnacentral:rRNA from 1 species
AUUGAACGCUGGCGGCAGGCCUAACACAUGCAAGUCGAACGAGUGGCGGACGGGUGAGUAAUAUAUCGGAACGUGCCCAGUAGCGGGGGAUAACUACUCGAAAGAGUGGCUAAUACCGCAUACUAUUGGAGCGGCCGAUAUCGGAUGGGCUAGUUGGUGGGGUAAAGGCUCAACAAGGCAACGAUCCGUAGCUUGUCUGAGAGGAUGAUCAGCCACACUGGGACUGAGACACGGCCCGGAGUCCUACGGUAGGCAGAAGUGGUGAAUAUUGCACAAUGGGCGCAAUCCUGAUGCAGCCAUGCCGCGUGGAGGAAGAAGGCCCUAGGGUUGUAAAGUACUUUCAGUCGGGAGGCGUUACCGACAGAAGAAGCACCGGCUAACUCCGUGCCAGCAGCCGGGGUAAUUC